rnacentral:rRNA from 1 species
GACAGAGGCCUCGAGCGUUAGGCGGAAUCACUGGGCUUAAAGCGCGUGUAGGCGGAUCGUUAAGUGCCUUGUGAAAUCCUGCGGCUCAACCGCAGAACUGCUGGGCAUACUGGCGAUCUUGGGCCACUCAGGGGUCACUGGAACAAGCGGUGGAGCGGUGAAAUGCGUAGAUAUCGAGAGGAACACCUGCGGCGAAGGCGGGUUGCUGGGCUGACACUGACGCUGAUGCGCGAAAGCUAGGGGAGCGAACGGG